rnacentral:tRNA from 1 species
GCCUGGGUGGCUCAGUAGGUUCAGCAUCUGACUGCAGCUCAGGUCAUAAUCUCGUGGUUUGUGGGUUCGAGCCCCACAUGGGGCU